rnacentral:rRNA from 1 species
CCUACGGGAGGCAGCAGUGGGGAAUCUUGCGCAAUGGGCGGAAGCCUGACGCAGCAACGCCGCGUGCGGGAAGAAGGCCUUAGGGUCGUAAACCGCUUUCAGGGGGGACGAAGCUUCCGGGGUUAAUAGCCUACGGGGUGACGGUACUCCCAAAAGAAGGUCCGGCUAACUACGUGCCAGCAGCCGCGGUAAUACGUAGGGACCGAGCGUUGUCCGGAAUCAUUGGGCGUAAAGGGCGUGUAGGCGGCUUGGUAGGUCUCGUGUGAAAUCCCGCGGCUCAACCGCGGAUCCGCACGGGAAACCCCUAAGCUCGAGUCCGGAAGAGGAGAGUGGAAUUCCUGGUGUAGCGGUGAAAUGCGCAGAUAUCAGGAAGAACACCCGUAGCGAAGGCGGCUCUCUGGGACGGUACUGACGCUGAGACGCGAAAGCGUGGGGAGCAAACAGGAUUAGAUACCCUGGUAGUCCACGCCGUAAACGAUGGGCGCUAGGUGUGGGAGGUGUCGACUCCUCCCGUGCCGAAGCUAACGCAUUAAGCGCCCCGCCUGGGGAGUACGGCCGCAAGGCUAAAACUUAAGAUAUGCGNGNGAGNGCGACGACGACGACGACGAGGAG